UAUAUACGCUACAUUAGUAAGAAUUCAAGAUUAGUAUUUCAUUAAGCGUGUUACUAUACUACAAGUUAUAAUUCCCAAGAGGCAAGAGCUUUACUUCAGCCAUAUCCCACAUUACUACACAUCAAAUGCAACACCAUUCCUUGUUUAAUACCAUCAGCCGACAAGGAAUCAAUAAAGGAAAAUCAUUAAAGCAAUAAAGGAAAAUCAUUAAGGUUAGUGGAAAGAAAUAAGUGUGCUGCCACCAUCCUUUAUUCCCCACCUCUUCAACCACCAAAAGCCAUGCUUUCCUCCCUUUACAGCCACCAACUUCACUCCUUAUUAUAUCAUCCACCAAAUCCUUCUCUCUUUACGCAUCAACAGCUUGAGGAAGUUGUCAUAAUUGCUGCAAGAUUCGAGAGCUAUCUUCUCAUUGAACUCAACAUCACCGCAGCCAACCAAAAGCACAAACAUUCAAGGUCGAGCGCAAGAAUAAGAGCUCGUCAAGGAGUCACUAAUCUGUAGCAAAGCUUUGCUAUCAGGUUGAGCAGCUGCCGAUGGUGAUGAAGUGACGAGCGGGACUCUUUUGUCUUAUUAUGUAUUAAUGAACUCUAGGGUUACAUGUCUUCAUACAUGUAAUCAGAACCUUAUUCCGCUGCGUACUCAGAAGUUUUAUGUUAUUUUGGAUAAGUCGGAGUUAUCCGAACUUACUAGUUAUUUGAGUCUAUACGACUAAAACUCCGUUAUAUUAUAA